UCCUACGGGGGGCAGCAGUGGGGAAUCUUCCGCAAUGGGCGCAAGCCUGACGGAGCAAUGCCGCGUGAACGAAGAAGGUCUUCGGAUUGUAAACUUCUUUUCUCAGGGACGAAGAAAGUGACGGUACCUGAGGAAUAAGCCACGGCUAACUACGUGCCAGCAGCCGCGGUAAUACGUAGGUGGCAAGCGUUAUCCGGAUUUAUUGGGUGUAAAGGGCGUGUAGGCGGGAGCGCAAGUCAGAUGUGAAAACUCAGGGCUCAACCCUGAGCCUGCAUUUGAAACUGUGUUUCUUGAGUGCUGGAGAG
rnacentral:rRNA from 1 species